rnacentral:rRNA from 1 species
CCUACGGGCGGCAGCAGUGGGGAAUAUUGCACAAUGGGGGAAACCCUGAUGCAGCAACGCCGCGUGAGUGAUGACGGCCUUCGGGUUGUAAAGCUCUGUCUUCAGGGACGAUAAUGACGGUACCUGAGGAGGAAGCCACGGCUAACUACGUGCCAGCAGCCGCGGUAAUACGUAGGUGGCGGGCGUGGUCCGGAUUUACUGGGCGUAAAGGGAGCGUAGGCGGACUUUUAAGUGAGAAGUGAAAGACUCGGGCUCAACUUGAGGUCUGCAUUUCAAACUGUAAGGCUAGAGUGCAGGAGAGGAGAAUGGAAUUCCGAGUGUAGCGGUGAAAUGCGUAGAGAGUAGGAAGAACACCAGGGGCGAAGGCGAUUCUCUGGACUGUAACUGACGCUGAGGCUCGAAAGCGUGGGGAGCAAACAGGAUUAGAUACCCGUGUAGUC